UCACUUGUGUGGGGGAUUAGUGGCGAACGGGUGAGUAACACGUGAGUAACCUGCCCUUGACUCUGGGAUAAGCCUGGGAAACCGGGUCUAAUACUGGAUACGACCUUCCCGCGCAUGCGGUGUUGGUGGAAAGCUUUUGCGGUUUUGGAUGGACUCGCGGCCUAUCAGCUUGUUGGUGGGGUAAUGGCCUACCAAGGCGACGACGGGUAGCCGGCCUGAGAGGGUGACCGGCCACACUGGGACUGAGACACGGCCCAAACUCCUACGGGAGGCAGCAGUGGGGAAUAUUGCACAAUGGGCGCAAGCCUGAUGCAUCGACGCCGCGUGAGGGAUGAAGGCCUUCGGGUUGUAAACCUCUUUCAGUAGGGAAGAAGUCGGCCUUUCGGGGUUGGUGACGGUACCUGCAGAAGAAGCGCCGGCUAACUACGUGCCAGCAGCCGCGGUAAUACGUAGGGCGCAAGCGUUAUCCGGAAUUAUUGGGCGUAAAGAGCUCGUAGGCGGUUUGUCGCGUCUGCCGUGAAAGUCCGGGGCUUAACCCCGGAUCUGCGGUGGGUACGGGCAGACUAGAGUGCAAUAUGGGAGACUGGAAUUCCUGGUGUAGCGGUGAAAUGCGCAGAUAUCAAGAGGAACACCGAUGGC
rnacentral:rRNA from 1 species